GGCGCACGGGUGAGUAACGCGUGAGAAUCUGGCUCCAGGUCGGGGAUAACAGUUGGAAACGACUGCUAAUACCGGAUGUGCCGAGAGGUGAAAGAUUUAUUGCCUGGAGAUGAGCUCGCGUCUGAUUAGCUAGUUGGUGGUGUAAGGGACCACGCAAGGCGUCGAUCAGUAGCUGGUCUGAGAGGAUGAUCAGCCACACUGGGACUGAGACACGGCCCAGACUCCUACGGGAGGCAGCAGUGGGGAAUUUUCCGCAAUGGGCGAAAGCCUGACGGAGCAAUACCGCGUGAGGGAGGAAGGCUCUUGGGUCGUAAACCUCUUUUCUCAAGGAAGAAGAAAGUGACGUACUUGAGGAAUAAGCAUCGGCUACUCCGUGCCAAGCAGCCCGGUAAUACGGAGGAUGCAAGCGUUAUCCGGAAUGAUUGGGCGUAAAGGGUCUGCAGGUGGAACUGAAAGUCUGCUGUUAAAGAGUUUGGCUUAACCAAAUAAAAGCGGUGGAAACUACAGAACUAGAGUGCGGUAGGGGCAAAAGGAAUUCCUGGUGUAGCGGUGAAAUGCGUAGAUAUCAGGAAGAACACCGGUGGCGAAAGCGUUUUGCUAGACCGUAACUGACACUGAGGGACGAAAGCUAGGGGAGCGAAUGGGAUUAGAUACCCCAGUAGUCCUAGCCGUAAACGAUGGAUACUAGGCGUGGCUUGUAUCGACCCGAGCCGUGCCGGAGCUAACGCGUUAAGUAUCCCGCCUGGGGAGUACGCACGCAAGUGUGAAACUCAAAGGAAUUGACGGGGGCCCGCACAAGCGGUGGAGUAUGUGGUUUAAUUCGAUGCAACGCGAAGAACCUUACCAAGACUUGACAUCCUGCGAAUCCUGGUGAAAGCUGGGAGUGCCUUAGGGAGCGCAGAGACAGGUGGUGCAUGGCUGUCGUCAGCUCGUGUCGUGAGAUGUUGGGUUAAGUCCCGCAACGAGCGCAACCCUCGUUUUUAGUUGCCAGCAUUAAGUUGGGCACUCUAGAGAGACUGCCGGUGACAAACCGGAGGAAGGUGAGGAUGACGUCAAGUCAGCAUGCCCCUUACGUCUUGGGCUACACACGUACUACAAUGCUACGGACAGAGGGCAGCGAGCCAGGGAUGGCAAGCGAAUCCAGAAACCGUAGCUCAGUUCAGAUCGAAGGCUGCAACUCGCCUUCGUGAAGGAGGAAUCGCUAGUAAUUGCAGGUCAGCAUACUGCAGUGAAUUCGUUCCCGGGCCUUGUACACACCGCCCGUCACACCAUGGAAGUUGGUCACGCCCGAAGUCAUUACCCCAACCGAAAGGAGGGGGAUGCCUAAGGUAGGACUGGUGACUGGGGUGAAGUCGUAACAAGGU
rnacentral:rRNA from 1 species